rnacentral:rRNA from 1 species
GACGGAGGAUGCAAGUGUUAUCCGGAAUCACUGGGCGUAAAGCGUCUGUAGGUGGUCAAAUAAGUCAACUGUUAAAUCUUGAGGCUCAACCUCAAAACCGCAGUCGAAACUAUUAGACUAGAGUAUAGUAGGGGUAAAGGGAAUUUCCAGUGGAGCGGUGAGAUGCGUAGAGAUUGGAAAGAACACCGAUGGCGAAGGCACUUUACUGGGCUAUGACUAACACUCAGAGACGAAAGCUAGGGUAGCAAAUGGG